UUAUCUCAUCAUGAGCGGUUUCUCUCACAAACCCGCCAACCGAGCCUAAAAGCCACGGUGGUCAGUUCCGCUAAAAGGAAUGAUGUGCCUUUUAUUAGGAAAAAGUGGAACCGCCUG
rnacentral:ncRNA from 1 species